UUAAAAUAGCAUAAACCAUUGAAUAAAUAUUAUAAGUUAACUGCCAAUCCCAUUUUUUAUUUUAAAAAUAGUUUGAAGACUCUGAAACAGGAUUUCCCAAAUAAUCUUUCUUGUGCUAUAAUAGGAUUGGUAUAAAAAUGAAUAUAAAGACUGGGGCCCUAACUGUUCAAUGCAUUCAGUUGCCUUUUGGAGAUUUAUUUCCUGUAAUUAGGAACAUCUAUAGAAAAUCAAGAGGAAGGUUUGUUUUGUUUUGUUUUUUGCAGUUCUUUGUUGUUAAUUCUCUGCAUUUUAAAAUUCUUUUUUGUUCAUUGAUGCUAUUAAUUUCCCUGAGCUGGUUGUCUAAUCUUUCAUAAAUGAAAUUCUGGAUAUACAUGUAUAUAUACAUAUAUGUCUCUCUGUGUCUCUCUCUAUAUAUAUAUACAUGCUUAUAUAUGUAUGUAUAUAUGUACAUAUAUACAUAUAUGUGUAUAUAUAUGUAUAAAGAGAAUUAUGUAAAAGUAGUGUUUUCCCCAGCAUAAUUAGAGAAAUUGCAUAAAUCCAAAUGACUUUGCUUCAGGAGAAAAUUAUUGCAUGGAAGCUUAAUGGUUCAAGUACUAGGUUCUUGGUACUCAAGAAGAGCUGGUGGUGAACUGGACGAGCAAAGGGUGAAGGUGAAGAUCAUUCAAGGUUCCAGAGCUGGCCAAGACUGUUGGGGUGGUGUAACUGUUCCUGGAGGGCGGGGUUCCUGUGCAUUCCUACCUCGCUGGAUCACCUGCGCUCAACUCUACUCCAGCUUACUUACAGACGGACUGGACCCUUCACCAAGAAAACGAGCCCAGCCAUCUCACCUGGCAGCAGGACGCUGCGAGGCAUGGACCGAAAAUCACUGGCGUAAAAGUUCCUGGCGCAAAGUGUGGCCCCUACUCGCACAAUCGGCAGGUUUUCCAGGGUCCACCUCUUAUCAACAUCUAGGAGCUAAGAGGUUUUGCUGAAACUUCCCAGUGGUUGUUGGUGAAAAGUGGGACAGCAGAAGAGCACAAAGUCAAGCUGUUAAUAAGGUUGGAAUAAUGUGCUAAAGGAAAGGGCUUGUCUAUAAGUCCAGAGCGCUUUUGAGGCCCCGGGAAAGUUAAAAUCAGAAGAUCUUGCCUGGGCCAAGUGUUCCUUUGCAACCUGUAGAUGUCGAGAUUCCAGAGCAUCGAAUGAGCAGCUAGCAAAGUCUUCUUUAACCUCUCCCUCCUCCUUAUACACACACACACACACCACACACACACACACACACACACACACACCCCUUCGCCCUCUGCAUUAUGUCUUAUGUUCUGUGAUAGUGGACCGUCUGAGGUUGAAUCACUUUCCCUCCAAGUCUUUCCUGUGAAUGAACCCGAAAACACUCGACAGAUCGUAAAUAAUCGUUUUAAUGAGUGUGCAAAGCGUGCGACGGGGUGUACCGAGCUGUCGGGUUAAACAAACAACUUGUACCCUGACAAAAUCCGAUUGUUAAAGUGCAAAGUGGUGUCAGUACAAUUUUUAUCACCAUUUGGGAAACCACAGAUCUGACACCCUGAAGUCCAAUUUUCCCCAUUAAAGAAAAAUAACAAUAUUUUAUGAGUGUGAGUGUGAUCUUCUUUAAUGUUAGCCAUGGCUCAACUGGAACCGGUAUUUUCUAGGUAGGAAGGUACUAGUGUUAGGUUUUAUUCCCUCUUCCCCCACCUCCGCUGAAGAAAAAGAAAAAGUAAAAAUCUUGUAGGAACAAUAUUUAUUUUUUAACACCUUACUUGAUAUUUUCAAAUCACU
ensembl:lncRNA